AUACAGAGGGUGCAAACGUUGUUCGGAAUUACUGGGCGUAAAGCGCGUGUAGGCGGCCAGGUAAGUCGAAUGUGAAAGCCCGGGGCUCAACCUCGGAAGAGCAUCCGAAACUGCUUGGCUCGAGUCCUGGAGAGGAAGGUGGAAUGCUUGGUGUAGAGGUGAAAUUCGUAGAUAUCAAGCGGAACACCAGUGGCGAAGGCGGCCUUCUGGACGGUGACUGACACUGAGACGCGAAAGCGUGGGGAGC
rnacentral:rRNA from 1 species